rnacentral:lncRNA from 1 species
CAGGCAGGUCCUCACAUGUACACUGUUCUUCACACAGGACCUGAGCUGGAUGAGGAGGGGAUCUGCUGCCCAGCUGGAAGUUUUCCUCGGGUGGAUCUUGGAGCUGGAGGGCAUUGUCUUUGUCAUAGCCAUGGCUUUGUUUAUCAGCAUCCUGAGUCUGAGGAAGUGGGUCUCACACCCACAGCGCUGAGUGAUGAGAUGUAUGCAGGUGAAGACUGUGGAGAAGGAGCAGCAGCUGCCUGAGAAGGGCAAUGGCUUCCUCCAAAUCUCCAUGUGAUUGAAGGUGCAGUGACCAAGUCAGGGCUGAGCGUGGGGACUGUCUGGUGAUUUCCCCAGGCCAGCCAUGCCAAUCAUGAGCCUCUCCCAGAGGAGGGUCCUGGUGGACUUCUUCCCCACCACUCAUCUGAUCGUGGUCUCAUGAGUGUUUACUGAAGUUGGCCUGACAAGACUCCAAGGAAGCCUCUGAUCAUAAACCUGGUGGAUAGCAGACACAUGUGGCCUUCUCUCACUGGACCUUCUCCUCUGAGUCCCAUUAGGAUAUUUCAUACUGGACCUAGGAUCCACCCAGGUAAUCUAAGAUGACCUUUUCUCAAGGUCCUUGAUUUAAUUACAGCUGUGGACUCUUUUUCCAAAUAAGGUACCAUUCCCAGCAUCCCAAUGUUAGGACGUGGGCAGAUCACUUUGUGGCUGCCACAUGGCCUGAUGUACCUACCAACUUGGAAGUCACUGAAAGGAAGUGUCCUGGAGGACUCAGUACUUGUCUUGAUUCAGCUCCAUUCUGGCCUGAGAAUGAAGAGAACUAAUGCACUUGCCAGCAAAGAGUUGUGUGGGUAAUUAUGCCUACUGAGUUGGCCAAUACUUACGCAAAUACUUUAUUAAAAAAUAAGAAUCUUGUUUGUUCUCCUUAUUCCAAAAAUUUCUCUUUCCAGAUUAAAAAUAGCUUUGCUCAAUCACAG